rnacentral:rRNA from 1 species
AGCGAACGCUGGCGGCAGGCCUAACACAUGCAAGUCGAACGAACCUUUCGGGGUUAGUGGCGGACGGGUGAGUAACACGUGGGAACGUGCCUUUAGGUUCGGAAUAACUCAGGGAAACUUGUGCUAAUACCGAAUGUGCCCUUCGGGGGAAAGAUUAAUCGCCUUUAGAGCGGCCCGCGUCUGAUUAGCUAGUUGGUUGAGGUAAUGGCUCACCCAGGCGACGAUCAGUAGCUGGUCUGAGAGGAUGAUCAGCCACAUUGGGACUGAGACACGGCCCAAACUCCUACGGGAGGCAGCAGUGGGGAAUCUUGCGCAAGGGGCGAAAGCCUGACGCAGCCAUGCCGCGUGAAUGAUGAAGGUCUUAGGAUUGUAAAAUUCUUUCACCGGGGACGAUAAUGACGGUACCCGGAGAAGAAGCCCCGGCUAACUUCGUG